CCUGACAUCCCCUCCUAAGCAACCUACGAGCCUGAAGAGCUGAUAUCAGACCUCUAGGUGUACCCCUCCUGUCUCCCCUGAAGACAACCUCUGACCCAUCUUGACCUCUGAACCUGACUACCUUGUCCCUGCAGUCCAAGGUAGCACCAUGGGUAGAUAACCAGUUCAUCCCUAGAAUGACGUCAAAAUCUGUCAAGUCUAGAACCACAAGGUCGGCGGACAAGCAUCUUCCCUCAACAAACACAGGACUACACUGGCAGACUGACUCUGCCACUGAUGGAUCACACUUGGGUCCACUGACCCAGAGAGGACACUCUAACCCAGAG
rnacentral:lncRNA from 1 species